rnacentral:rRNA from 1 species
GUGAGGAAUUUUCCGCAAUGGGCGAAAGCCUGACGGAGCAAUGCCGCGUGAAGGAUGAAGGCCUAUGGGUUGUAAACUUCUUUUCUUAGAGAAGAAUAUUGACGGUAUCUGAGGAAUAAGCAUCGGCUAACUCUGUGCCAGCAGCCGCGGUAAGACAGAGGAUGCAAGCGUUAUCCGGAAUGAUUGGGCGUAAAGCGUCUGUAGGUGGCUUCAAAAGUCUCCUGUCAAAGAUCAGGGCUUAACCCUGGGCCGGCAGGAGAAACUCUGAGGCUAGAGUUUGGUAGGGGCAGAGGGAAUUCCCGGUGGAGGGGUGAAAUGCGUAGAGAUCGGGAGGAACACCAAAGGCGAAAGCACUCUGCUGGGCCACAACUGACACUGAGAGACGAAAGCGAGGGGAGCAAAAGGGAUUAGAUACCCGAGUAGUCC